ACGCUGGCGGCAGGCCUAACACAUGCAAGUCGAGCGGCAGCACGGGUACUUGUACCUGGUGGCGAGCGGCGGACGGGUGAGUAAUGCCUAGGAAUCUGCCUGGUAGUGGGGGAUAACGUUCGGAAACGGACGCUAAUACCGCAUACGUCCUACGGGAGAAAGUGGGGGAUCUUCGGACCUCACGCUAUCAGAUGAGCCUAGGUCGGAUUAGCUAGUUGGUGAGGUAAUGGCUCACCAAGGCGACGAUCCGUAACUGGUCUGAGAGGAUGAUCAGUCACACUGGAGCUGAGGCACGGUCCAGACUCCUACGGGAGGCAGCAGUGGGGAAUAUUGGACAAUGGGCGAAAGCCUGAUCCAGCCAUGCCGCGUGUGUGAAGAAGGUCUUCGGAUUGUAAAGCACUUUAAGUUGGGAGGAAGGGCAGUAAAUUAAUACUUUGCUGUUUUGACGUUACCGACAGAAUAAGCACCGGCUAACUCUGUGCCAGCAGCCGCGGUAAUACAGAGGGUGCAAGCGUUAAUCGGAAUUACUGGGCGUAAGGCGCGCGUAGGUGGUUUGUUAAGUUGAAUGUGAAAUCCCCGGGCUCAACCUGGGAACUGCAUCCAAAACUGGCAAGCUAGAGUAUGGUAGAGGGUGGUGGAAUUUCCUGUGUAGCGGUGAAAUGCGUAGAUAUAGGAAGGAACACCAGUGGCGAAGGCGACCACCUGGACUGAUACUGACACUGAGGUGCGAAAGCGUGGGGAGCAAAC
rnacentral:rRNA from 1 species